CCUACGGGAGGCAGCAGUAAGGAAUAUUGCGCAAUGGGCGAAAGCCUGACGCAGCGACGCCGCGUGGGGGAUGAAGGUCUUCGGAUUGUAAACCCCUUUCGGGAGGGAAGAUGGAGCGAGCAAUCGUUCGGACGGUACCUCCAGAAGCAGCCACGGCCAACUUCGUGCCAGCAGCCGCGGUAAUACGAAGGUGGCAAGCGUUGUUCGGAUUCACUGGGCGUACAGGGUGUGUAGGCGGUUUGGUAAGCCUUCUGUUAAAGCUUCGGGCCCAACCCGGAAAGCGCAGAGGGUACUGCCAGGCUAGAGGGUGGGAGAGGAGCGCGGAAUUCCCGGUGUAGCGGUGAAAUGCGUAGAGAUCGGGAGGAAGGCCGGUGGCGAAGGCGGCGCUCUGGAACAUACCUGACGCUGAGACACGAAAGCGUGGGGAGCAAACAGGAUUAGAUACCCUGGUAGUCCACGCCCUAAACUAUGGAUACUAAGUGUCGGCGGGUUACCGCCGGUGCCGCAGCUAACGCAUUAAGUAUCCCGCCUGG
rnacentral:rRNA from 1 species